AUUGAAAUAUCAUGGGUAUUUGUUGAUUUUUCGUCCGUCUUUUUUUAUUAUUUUAGUUUGAUGUCGUCCACCUUUUCAUGAGAGCAUGCUCUGUCAAGCUGGAGGCGAGAAAACGUAGAAUUUCGCUCAGAAGAAGAAGAAGAAGAAGCUUUGUUGACGUCACUCGUGGCCCGUGUACUGUCGUGCUUUAUAUACUUUAUUCAUCCCCUCUCGAUAUGCCACGGCCGUAUGUACCUCGUCUUGAAUCUGCAUUCACUAUGCCUGCAGCCAAUCUGUUGCCACACCAGCCAUUUCCAGCGUUGCUUCUUGCCACAUGUUGUUGAUCUUUGGAACUUGUUGGGUGAAGAUGCCUGUGUUGCUAGUGACAUUAACCCUUUCCACAUGAAGAAAAGGAAGGAGAGGGGGAAAGGUAAUUAUGACUUGUGCCGGGCAGGGUGAGACUGGUACUGACAACUCCUGAACCUCCAUCUGAUGUGUCCUCCUCAAUGGCAAGAGUUCCUAGUGGUGGCCUGCACAUUUCAAGGGUUACC